CCUACGGGAGGCAGCAGUGGGGAAUAUUGGGCAAUGGGCGCAAGCCUGACCCAGCAACGCCGCGUGAAGGAAGAAUGCUUUCUGGUUUUAAACUUCUUUUCUGAGGGACGAAGAACGUGACGGUACCUCAGGAAUAAGCCACGGCUAACUACGUGCCAGCAGCCGCGGUAAUACGUAGGUGGCAAGCGUUAUCCGGAUUUAUUGGGUUUAAAGGGCGUGUAGGCGGGAAAGCAAGUCAGAUGUGAAAACUCAGGGCUCAACCCUGAGCCUGCAUUUGAAACUGUUUGUCUUGAGUGCUGGAGAGGCAAGCGGAAUUCCGUGUGUAGCGGUGAAAUGCGUAGAUAUACGGAGGAACACCAGUGGCGAAGGCGGAUUGCUGGACAGUAACUGACGCUGAGGCGCGAAAGCGUGGGGAGCAAACAGGAUUAGAUACCCGAGUAGUC
rnacentral:rRNA from 1 species